rnacentral:sRNA from 1 species
AGACUGAGCACCUGCCGCAGCUGCUGGCGA